AUGAUGCUGAUGGUCAUACCUGAUGCAUGUUAGGCAAGUGCUCUACCACUGAGAUAUACACCUAACCAUACAGACUGUUUGUAUACAUGGGACAAUAUUGAAAACUGUAGUAUAGAAAAUGCAAGUCAGGAACAUAGCUAUCUGUCAUCUUUAUCCAGGAUCCUGUGCUAUGUGUACAUGACUGGAUGGGCUGGAUUUUCAUGACUGGUAGUGUUUCAGGCUUAUUUAUAGCAUCAGCACCACAAUCACUCAAGCAGUAUGUUGUGCCAGCAUGCUACCAUGGCUAUGAGCUCAGUUAGGUGAAAGGAAUUUUCCACUCCAUGUAGCCUCCUGAAGUGACUGUCAAAUAAGAAGUCUGUGUUGACUGAAAUAUUACAGGGUUCAUGACUGUGUCUCUGUACCUGUUUUAUGUCAAUCCAAUACAUUUAAUCUACCUAUCAUUUACCUGUCUGUCUAUCUAUCAUCUAUCUAUCUAUGUGUAUAUCUAUGUAUCUUCUAUCAAUCUAUUGACUUACUAUAAAAAAUUGGCUUAUGCAAAUUAUGGAGACUAAGAUCUUCAAAGAUUUGCCAUUGGCAAGUAGGAGACUUAACCAUGGUAUACAGUCAUACCUGAUCUGAGCUUGAAGAUAAUACAGGCCAAAAGGAAGAAUUUUUACUGAUCAGGUUGGUAAUCAUCCACUUGGGUUGCUGAGUCAAAGGAAUCCUUCGGUGAUGUGGAUAGGGCCAAUCCACAUUGAGCAGAGCACAUAACUCAGUCUACCAAUUGAAAUGCUACUCUCAUCCAUAAAUACUCUCAACUUUCAGACUCAGAAUAAUGCUUAACCAAGUGUCUGGGUACCUCGGGGCCCAAUCAAGUUGACACAUAAGCUUAAUCAUAGCAAUAUGUUACUUUCUUUUAUACGAGGCAAUGCAUUUUGAUAUGGGGCAUAAAAUGAUUUUCUAACAACAGCAAAAGACAGAUAUCCAUUAUGAAUUAUAAUGCCUUUACUUAGAUAUUAACUUAGCUCAAGAAUGAUGCCUUGGGAAGAAACAGUUGUGUUAGUUGCUGCUAGACAUAUGUGCAUGGAUUGAAGGAAGAAGAGGCAGGUUGAUACUGGAGUUUAGAGUGCAAGAUAAUUAAAUCUAGAAAUGGGGUGGUAGGGAUGAAGAAGGAAAGAAUGGGAGAUUGUGGGCUUUAAGAGAACAAUUUACUAUUUCACAUUUUUUGGUACAAAUUCUCUAAUUCCUUUUUGUUCUUCCUUUACACUUGUUUCCCUUCAAGCUUUCAUGGGCCUUGUGUAUUAUUUCAGAUUUUUUAUGUACCUACCAAUAUGCCCAAUAUCAAUUUAUAAGACACGUUGACGGGACUCUGACUUAACACCUGCUUGUCCAGCUUCUGUUUCUCAUUCCCUGAGCACUAGUAUACACUUGAAACCAUAAGGUAGACUCCAUGUGUCAUUAUGUGCUGCUGUUUACUUCAGUUCUGGAUGGGAGUGUCCAAUGAGCAGAUUAUACGGGGGAGCUUACUUCAAGGGAACUUACUUCAAGCCUGAAGCUUAUGAAUAAUGCAUGACUCUCUGACUCAUCCAAAGCAAACGAUAAACAAAACCCAAACAGUUGGCCACCCCCUCAGCAAUCUGUAGACAGUGGUCCCAGCCCUUAGCAACUGUGAACAGCAAUAUUUGAAGGUAGCAGUGGAAAUCAUUGGUGCUGGCUAUCUUUAGCACUGGCCAUAUGUUUACUGGCACACUGUUAAGUCAGAAAAGUGACUGCACACAAGCAAAGAGAAAAAAGAUAUCCCCAUUACUUAAUUCAUUUUCUGUUGCUCUAAUGCACUACCACAGACCAAGCAAUUUAUAAAGAACAAAGGUUUAUUUGUAAGUUCUAAGGAUUAAGAAAUUCACAACUGAGCAGCUAUCUAUUACCCAUGAGUUUCUUCUUCAUGCAAGCUUCAUCUACUGAUUUCCUGGGAGGCAUGGGGGAUUACUCUGGAGGCACAACACAGAGCUAAAGUUCUUUUCUCUUAUUUAUAAAGCCAUAGUCUUGUUUGGAUUAGAGUUCCAUCCUUCUGGUUUCGCUUAAUUACCUCCCAAAGAUCAUAUCACCAAAUAGCAUAGUCAGUUUUAAUUUUCAUCCUUAAUGCUUCCCAUUGGAGAUUAAACUUCAAUGAGUUGAGGCAGGGAUUACUUAAACCAUAAUGUAAGGCAUCUGGCCAUGAAAGGUGUUAGCCAGAAGUCCUUCCUCACCACACACAGGGUCUUCUUCCCUGAACCUCUUCCAGUUUCCUCAAAACUGUAUCAUUUUAUCCUGGGGGAAAGCACAUUAAUAUUCAGAAGUUCCAAAAAAGAGGCUGAGAUGUCUCUAUUUCUAGGGGAUCUGACAUCCUCUUCUGGCCUCUACAGGCACCAGGCACAAACAAUGCACAGACGUAUUUUCAGGCAAAACACUCAUACCUAUUUAAAGAGAGGGAAGGGGGGUCUUAUUGUUGGCUUCAUUAGAAGUAUACAUUUACUCAUUGGGUUAACUGUCACUACCUCUCAGUGUCUUUUUUAUAGAUAAAGGAUGACCCAGCAUAAGAACCCCUGCUUCUUUUUGGUCUGCUCUGAAUCGACCUGACUUGUGGGCCACUGGCCCUUGUCUACUCUGGCCCACAAGAACUGCUCCUGAUUCCACGAGAGGACUGACUUUUGGAUUUUAUGCUUCUGACUAUGCCCCGAUCACAGAUAUGUAUUGACACCUCCUCCCACUAGAUUAUAAUGAAUCUUGGUAUCAGUUAGAUUCUUCUCCUACACACACACACACACACACACACACACACACACACACACACACACUCCCUCCAGAAGAGGGCUUCAGGCAUCUUUCUCUAUCACUCUCUGGCCACAAGGCAACACAAUGUCAUGGCAAGCUAUUUAAAGAAAGAUGGAUCCUCUCAAGCAAAUUCCAUCUUCUGCUAGUUUGCACACGUCCGUGCUGAACAUACAUGGGUGAGCAGCAGGAGAGCAACAGUGACAGAUGAGAAAAAGCAUCGCCGGCUCAGGAUGGGAACAAACAAGUGUAUUCCUGGCAAGCUAGUUCCAUGAAGAACCAUUCAUGCCCACAGCCUGUUGAGGGAGUUCCCAGCUUUGCUUUCAGACUUUAUCCAGUAGCACGUGGGCCUCAUUCUUUCAGGUUCAGUGGUCUUGGCCCAGCUGCAAGAAUAACUUGCAUGCACUGGCAACAGAAGCAGUUGCAAAGCUAUUGGAUGAGGACCAGGGGAGUAGAAACCUUUCUAUGUGUCUGCUUCUCAGAGGGUCAGUCUGGUUAAUCUUGGCACGUUGCUUGCUUGGGUCUGAAGCCAACUUCUGGGAGCUGGAGGCAUCUGUCUCCUUCAUCUUGCCUGGGGUCUGUCACAGGUGGCAAGUCCUACAAAUAGUCUAAAACUGCUCAGAACCUCAAUACUGUGGCCCACAGGGGGCAGAAUCCCUCCAAUGAGAUGUUGUCAUAGAGGAGGAAGAAUAGGAGGGAGUCUUGGGUCUAGAGAAGAGUUGUGAUUUGUUCAAGGUGACCUGAAAAAGAUUCUGGUUGAAAUGAAAACCAUCCAAAAAAGGAAUCAAAAAUGGGCAUAGUUACUGUCUCUCAUCAUCAAAUUUAAUUCAGUAAACUAUUGUCAUUAAAAGGGGAACAAUAGCUUCUGUAUACCCAGAGUCUGGCAUAUUGCUAACACAAUUUUAUACAAUGUGUUGCAGGAAGGUACUUAUUUGCCAGGUUAAUGAAGCAGUAGAUUGGGGGUUGGGGAGGAGGUGGGAAUCAGUAUCUGAGAGACACUGAUUGCUCUUUAUGCAUGACAAGUUCUUGGGCCUUGCAAUAUUGCUCUGUCCUUCCAGACUGUCUUAGGCUCACAGGACGCAGUACAACACCCUUUGAUUUCCUGCAAAUCACUAGCUAAUUGAGUGCUUUCUUUUUUCACUCCUGCAUCUGUCUCAUACACUGUUCCAUCUCUGGGCUUAACACCUUCUUUCCUUUUAGGGUCUCCCUUCAGUGUGCCCUUGCCUUGUAACUCCGAGAUAUGGUAGGUUAGUCCCUGCCUCAUAGCAAUUCAGUUGCUUCUCCUAACUUCAGCAUGGAGUCUGGCUUCAUUGCUGUUCCUUAAUCUCAGGGACAUGUAACGCAAGUUCUAAUAGGUCUUAAUGAAAGCCCGGAGUCAGAUAUUACGGGGUGAAAGCUGUAACAUCAGAGCAGCAGCCAGCCAGCCACUAGAGCUCUUCUCUGCACAAAAUCCUCAGACUGAAAAGAGACAGAGUUUCUGUCUUUCCCCAUUAUAUUUUCUCUCUCCACCCAGUCAUCUAACUUCCCAUUUGCCCUUACAGACCUCUAGACUUCUAUGGUUAGGUAGUGGCUAGCUCCACCCUCUGAUUUUCAGGCAAGCUUUAUUUAUUAGAGUGUCAACAAGAUAACACCACAGAGACAAGCCAGGUCGAAUCUACAUUCUGGCUAUUUUAUUCACUUAUUUUGUAUGUGUGUGUGUGUGUGUGUAUGCGUGCGUGUGUCUGUCCAUGUCACAGCUUGCAUGUGGAGAUCAGAGAAUAACUUGUGGAGUUCUCUCCUUCCUUCUUCUACCAUAUGAGUCUGGGGAUUGAAGUCAGGUAAGUUACCUCUGAGCAUCUCAUUGGCUGUCAUGGUUAUAUUUUGUUGGCUAGACUUUUAAGAAUAAAGUCCAUUUUAGACCAUCUUUACUUUGCCAUUUGUCCUCUUCUCACUACAGAUUCAUUGGGAGAAAGGGUCUGCAUGUCAGACUCACACUGAUAUGACAGGGCUAGAUCCUUCCAGUCUUCUUGGAUGUCCUCUUUUCUCAGCAUAAACCAGCUGUCUAUAUAGAGCACUUGGUUGCUACUCUGGAGACGUUCAUCUACUUACCCAGUGAGAAGUUAUGGCAGCCAUCCAUCCUCUUGGGAGCCCACCAUUAGCUCUCCACGGACCUGACACUUCUCAGUGACUCUCAGAAGAAAUGUGCAACAGCCCUUUGAAAUGAAAUGCUUUUCUGUUGAACCAGAAAACAAUCACAUCUUCCCAUUUAUUCUUUAGGGUACAAAUUGAUCUGACUUGAUUUGUCAGAGAGCCAGAACUGCAGGCAAAUAGACACCAGAGAAAUCAACCAAUCUUUUAAGCCAGCAGUAAUUGUUCCUCUUGUCGACUGGCUAAAUGACUUGUGUCUGGAGAAGAUGCUCAAAGUGAAUCAGAAUGCCUGAGGUGACAGAAACACAGAAUGCUCCAAAGUGGGCUGUAAUGAGAGUGUUUCUUUACAUCUUACCAGGCUUUGGUUUUGUGUUUUCCCCUUCCCUCUUAUCCUUUCUCCUGGGGCUAAUAUCGAGCAGAGAUCAAAGACAAUGCAUGCACAUGACACUGAAGACCAGUGUGGGAUAGAUUAAGUGAAUGAGGAAAGUAUUUAUUAGCAUUGAAUUCUAGGAUGAACUUAGUUGUACACGAGUCAUUAAUAAGUCCAUGAUGCUUCCAGAGAAGAGAGGCAUAUCAUCAGAGGGAGUGAAGACCCUUUACUGCAUUGUUUGUAAUAGCCAGAACCUGGAAGCAACCUAGAUGCC